rnacentral:rRNA from 1 species
CCUACGGGAGGCAGCAGUGGGGAAUUUUGGACAAUGGGCGAAAGCCUGAUCCAGCCAUGCCGCGUGCAGGAUGAAGGCCUUCGGGUUGUAAACUGCUUUUGUACGGAACGAAAAGUCUCUUUCUAAUAAAGAGGGAUCAUGACGGUACCGCAAGAAUAAGCACCGGCUAACUACGUGCCAGCAGCCGCGGUAAUACGUAGGGUGCAAGCGUUAAUCGGAAUUACUGGGCGUAAAGCGUGCGCAGGCGGUUAUAUAAGACAGUUGUGAAAUCCCCGGGCUCAACCUGGGAACUGCAUCUGUGACUGUAUAGCUAGAGUACGGUAGAGGGGAUGGAAUUCCGCGUGUAGCAGUGAAAUGCGUAGAUAUGCGGAGGAACACCGAUGGCGAAGGCAAUCCCCUGGACCUGUACUGACGCUCAUGCACGAAAGCGUGGGGAGCAAACAGGAUUAGAUACCCUGGUAGUCCACGCCCUAAACGAUGUCAACUGGUUGUUGGGAAUUCACUUUCGCAGUAACGAAGCUAACGCGUGAAGUUGACCGCCUGGGGAGUACGGCCGCAAGGUUGAAACCUUAAAGGAAUUGACGGCUGAGACCGNGCGAGACGACGACGAGGAGAGG